rnacentral:lncRNA from 1 species
UGCUUGUGGGUUUUCUAUUUUUGCUUUCAGUGUGAUCUAGGUUUGAUACCCUUUUAUUUUUUUUAUUUUUUAUUGUCUUUUUGCUGUUGUAUUUUGUAUGUCAAAAUUUACUUUGAAAAAAAAGAAAAAGAAAAAAAGAAUCAAAUCUUUGAAUUUUUCCUUCUUCUUCUUGUUUUGUUGUUUUUUUCUCUCUCAUCAUAUCUUU